UACAGAGGUGGCAAGCGUUGUUCGGAAUUACUGGGCGUAAAGGGCGCGUAGGCGGCCUUCUAAGUCAGACGUGAAAUCCCCCGGCUUAACCUGGGAACGGCGUCUGAUACUGGAAGGCUUGAGUGCGGGAGAGGGAUGUGGAAUUCCAGGUGUAGCGGUGAAAUGCGUAGAUAUCUGGAGGAACACCGGUGGCGAAGGCGGCAUCCUGGACCGACACUGACGCUGAGGCGCGAAAGCUAGGGUAGCAAACGGG
rnacentral:rRNA from 1 species